GAUGAAGAACGCAGUGAAAUGCGAUAAGUAAUGUGAAUUGCAAAUUCAGUGAAUCAUCGAGUCUUUGAACGCACAUUGCGCCCCCUGGUAUUCCGGGGGGCAUGCCUGUCCGAGCGUCAUUGCUGCCCUCAAGCACGGCUUGUGUGUUGGGCCCCGUCCUCCGAUCCCGGGGGACGGGCCCGAAAGGCAGCGGCGGCACCGCGUCCGGUCCUCGAGCGUAUGGGGCUUUGUCACCCGCUCUGUAGGCCCGGCCGGCGCUUGCCGAUCAACCCAAAUUUUUAUCCAGGUUGACCUCGGAUCAGGUAGGGAUACCCGCUGAACUUAAGCAUAUCAAUAAGCGGAGGA
rnacentral:misc_RNA from 1 species